AUUCCAUGAUGUGGGCACUUCCAAAGAAGUUCCUUGAACCUCUCCCAAGCAUCGGACACUGCUUCGUCGUCCCCUUGUUGGAACAGCAAAAUUUCAUUUCUAAGUUU